GCCCCCCCCAUGGGUGCCCCCCCGUGGGCCUGCGCAGCCCUGGGGAGCCCCGGUGUUCCGCUUCCUCCUCGCCCGGGCUCCCUGACUGAGAGCGGCCGCGUCCGCCCCCUUCGCCAUGAGUUCUCUGUUUUGUGAGGGAGGGUUGGCUGGAAACUCCUUGUUGAGGUGUUUAUCGGGGAAGAACGGAACUUCAGCUCAGGAGGAAGAUGAAAGAUAGUGUUGCUGAAGAACAUUUAUAUUUGGGUUUUUCUCAUCAGUACAGAGAUAGUAUCUUUCCUCUUCAUACAUCUAUUUCACUGUUUUUGCUAUCCUACUGUGACUGCAAAUUUUUCAAAGUUUUCUUAGUGCCGACUGGUGAAAAUGUGGAUGAUCAGCCUGUGACAAAAAAACUCCUUGGCGAUCUUGAGGUCCAUUUAAUCUCCAGACGUCAGCUUCCAGUGGUUGUGCAGAGCUGCUGUUUACCUGCUGUUGUUGUGAAAGAUGGCAAGUUCUGCCGAGCUGGGCUUUCUGUUGUCUUAAGGCAUAUAAUACAGAAAACAUAUGAGGCAGAUCCAUCUAAAAAGGAUGUUUUGGAGCUCUUAGGUUUUAAGAAGACCUGCUUAAAAGCCUGUGCUGAAGUUAGCCAGUGGACCAGACUUUGUGAGAUCAGCAUACCUCUGGCUGUUGAAGGAUUUUUGUCGGCGUCUCCCGAGCACUGUCAAACUAUUCCUCCUGACAUUUUACAGCUUGAAAGGAAGCUUGGAGAGCCUGUCCGAGUACAUAAUGAUGACAAAAUUCGAAGGCAAAAACUUCAACAACAGAAGGCAGGUGCCAAGGCUGCAGUGCCUGUACUUGGUAAAGAAGCAACAGAGGAAGGAAAAACAGUGGAAAUGCAUGAACAGCCACUCCCAAGUUUGGAACUGAGCAUAGCUUUCUCCAAGCUACUUGACCAGGAAGUAUCAGAUGCAAUCAACAGGGAGGCCCCCCACAUCAGGAGAACAAAAACCUCUGACCUUCCGCUUUUGGACCAUGUUUUUGCAGAAGGGCUUUACUUUACCUUGGCAGAUAUAGUGCUUUUGCCAUGCAUCCAUCAGUUCUUGGUUUCCAGUAAAAAACAAGGCAAAAAUCUGGUAAAUUUGCCUCUGAUAUCUAGUUGGUAUCAAAGAGUUCAAAAAGUACCUGGAGUAAAGAAAGCUGCUGGCAAAUGCAAUAUGGAGCUUCUCCAGCUUCCAGACUUGAUGUCUACUCCAGAGGAAGAGCUACAAGACCUUUCUUCAGUUCCUGAUGAAUUGGAAGAGGAGAAUGAAGACAGUCAUUUUAUAGGUGGUCCAAGGCCAACUAUGACUAAGUUAAUGGAAAAUGGUAUUGAAGCAAAGUUUUCUCCUCAUCCGUGCCCCAACUGGACCCUAGACUGGAGCAAUUUACCAUCUGCAGUCAGUCCUGGAGAAGGAAAGAUGUCUAGAGACCGGGCUCUGAGGAAGCAGCAGCAAUUGAAUAAUUUGGUAGCAGUGGUGACAAAGCUUGCUAAGCCUGGAGAUGUGAUUGUGGAUUUUUGCAGUGGAGGGGGCCAUGUUGGAAUUGUUCUUGCUCACAUGAUGCCAUCAUGUCAGGUGGUGCUCAUAGAAAAUAAGGAGUUGUCCCUGAUCCGUGCUAAAGACAGAAGUGAUGAACUGGGUUUAAACAACAUUUCGUUCAUUCAAGCAAAUUUGGACUAUUUUAAUGGGACUUUUAACAUUGGGGUGGCUCUGCAUGCAUGUGGUGUGGCAACAGACAUGGUGAUCGAACACUGCAUCAAGGCACGAGCAACUUUUGUCAUCUCCCCUUGUUGUUACGGCUUCAUUCAAAACACAGUGAAGUUUAAAUAUCCACGAAGUCAUCAGUUCAAAGAAAUUUUGUCCUACAAGGAGCACAUGAUCCUUUGCAGAUUUGCAGAUCAGACAGCUGUUCAGCUUCCACCUGAACGCAGGCUAAUUGGAAAGCAGUGUAUGGGCCUUGUAGAUCUGGAUCGGGCACGGGCUGCAGAAGAACGUAACUACUCUGUCCAAGUUAUAUCUAUGGAGCCAGAGAGUUGUUCUCCAAAGAACAAUAUGUUUGUGGGCAUCCCUACUUAGAGUGUGAAACUUGCAUUUGAUUUGAAGUUGAACAUAAAUCUUCAGCACGUAAUGACAUCCAGCAGAUACAAACAUAGCUGGGAACCAGGCAUCUUGAACCCAUUGCGUUGGGAAAAGGAAGCAGCACAAAAAGUCUUAGAAAGUGAACUGCAUGCAGAUCAUCGCAAAUUUUACUUGCCAUGCGUCAUUAAGCAACUUUUGGUUCUCUUACUGAGAAGUUUUUGGACCUAAUGACUGUGAACGGAAUCAUGUCCAUCUGCAAAGGUUUAGAGAAAAGUUGGUCUCAUUGAUGGGAAGGUGAUUUCCUUUUUAGUAAAGCUGUCUUGGCUGCUUCAAAACUGCAUUCAAGUUCAAAACUGCAUUUGUGCUCAUAUGCAGAGCAGUUAUCAGCCAAUAAUGCAGAUCACUAAAGGACCAGGAAAGAUCGAAUUUAUGGUGUUAGUGAAGAAGGCUGUGCAACAGGUGGUGGCUUGACUUGGCCAAAGAAUUCCAUACUACUGUAAGAAGAUUAUUUUUAAAAGUUUAUCAGAAUACUUUGGGUAUCAAUCUGCUUAUAGAAAAAUGUAUUCUAACUCACUGAUCUUUUUAAAAAGACCUAAAAAUUUUCUUUAAAUAUUACACAAGAAUUCUGUAACCAGGCAUUUGAAACUGUGUUUAGUUAAAGAAAGCAAACCCCUGUUUCUCUCUUGACCAGAUAGCGGGAGAUAGUGAUGACAUUAGCAAAUGGAUAUUUCACUGCCACCUCUGCUAAUUGAAGUGUAUUGCUUCCCAUUCUUAAGAAACUUGCUGUUGGAAGAAAUUUUUAAGGACAGUUCAUGUGUCUAUAUACAUCAUCUUCGUUGAUUUUAUUUUCAGUUUAAAAUUUGAAUAAAGUUGCAGUUGUGGAACCAUUUGAAAAGAUCAACCACAGACAACUUACUGUAAAAUGAAAAUAAACAUGCUUCUGUGCUCUGAUUAGUAGGGAGUUUUCUAUGCUAAUUUAAAAUCAUCUGUUGACACUAACACAAGGGAAAUGAAUUAAUUAAAAUAUAUCUGAAGUUUGGUCACUGAACGUAUCUUCAGUGCAUGUGGCAAACAGAACUACAAACAACAAAGAGGUAUUGGAGGAAAAAAAAGGAUCCUGAAAUAUUUUAUUCUUCAUGAAACUUUAUAUCUCUAAAAAAUCUAGAAAGUUGGGUUUUCUUAAUGCGAAGACUAAAGGAGGCUGCGUACUUAUUUGGAAGCACAAAGGCUGAUGUUCCAAAACAAAUUCUAAAGGCGGUGGAAGUAACCAAGAGUAGACAAUCUUAAUUGGAGCAGGCACCACGUCUGACCAGCACACCAGUAUUAACACACACGAGUGCCAAACAGGCUGCUGAGGAAAUCUUAAAUACUGAGUGGAGUCUGGAAAGAUGAAGUGAUCUUACUGUCAUUUGCGAGC